rnacentral:rRNA from 1 species
AUUGAACGCUGGCGGCAGGCCUAACACAUGCAAGUCGAACGAGUGGCGGACGGGUGAGUAAUGUCUGGGAAACUGGCUUAUGGAGGGGGAUAACUACUGGAAACUGUAGCUAAUACCGCGUACCAUCGGAUGUGCCCAAGUGGGAUUAGGUAGUUGGUGGGGUAAAGGCUCACCAAGCCGACGAUCCCUAGCUGGUCUGAGAGGAUGACCAGCCACACUGGGACUGAGACACGGCCCAGACUCCUACGGGAGGCAGCAGUGGGGAAUAUUGCGCAAUGGGGGCAAGCCUGACGCAGCCAUGCCGCGUGAAUGAAGAAGGCCUUCGGGUUGUAAAGUUCUUUCGGUAGCGAGGCGUUAACUACAGAAGAAGCACCGGCUAACUCCGUGCCAGCAGCCGCGGUAAUAC